rnacentral:rRNA from 1 species
UGAAAGCUUGCUUUUGAAAGUCGAGUGGCAAACGGGUGAGUAACGCGUAGACAACCUGCCGUAAAGAUGGGGACAACAGUCCGAAAGGACUGCUAAUACCGAAUGUUGUGGAACUUCCGCAUGGGAGCUCUACUAAAGAUGGCCUCUACUUGUAAGCUAUCGCUUUACGAUGGGUCUGCGUCUGAUUAGCUAGUUGGUGGGGUAACGGCUUACCAAGGCGACGAUCAGUAGCCGGUCUGAGAGGAUGAACGGCCACAUUGGAACUGAGACACGGUCCAGACUCCUACGGGAGGCAGCAGUGGGGAAUCUUCCGCAAUGGGCGCAAGCCUGACGGAGCAACGCCGCGUGAGUGAAGAAGGGUUUCGACUCGUAAAGCUCUGUUGUCGGGGACGAAUGUGGAGAUGGUGAAUAACCGUUUCCAAUGACGGUACCUGACGAGGAAGCCACGGCUAACUACGGUGCCAGC